CUACGGGAGGCACCAGUGGGGAGUAUUGGACAAUGGGGGAAACCCUGAUCCAGCAAUGCCGCGUGUGUGAAGAAGGCCUGCGGGUUGUAAAGCACUUUCGGUUGGGAGGACUGCUUCUAGCACUAAUAUUGUUGGAAGUUGACGUUACCUUCAGAAGAAGCACCGGCUAACUCCGUGCCAGCAGCCGCGGUAAUACGGAGGGUGCAUGCGUUAAUCGGAAUUACUGGGCGUAAAGCGCGCGUAGGCGGCUAGAUCAGUCGGGUGUGAAAGCCCCGGGCUUAACCUGGGAACUGCAUCCGAUACUGUCUAGCUUGAGUACAGGAGAGGAGAGUGGAAUUCCACAUGUAGCGGUGAAAUGCGUAGAUAUGUGGAGGAACACCAAUGGCGAAGGCAGCUCUCUGGCCUGAUACUGACGCUGAGGUGCGAAAGCGUGGGGAGCAAACAGGAUUAGAUACCCCCGUAGUC
rnacentral:rRNA from 1 species